UACGGGGGGGGCAAGCGUUUGUUCGGAAUUACUGGGCGUAAAGGGCUCGUAGGCGGCCAACUAAGUCGGAUGUGAAAUCCCCAGGCUCAACCUGGGGAACUGCAUCCGAUACUGGAUGGCUUGAAUUCGGGAGAGGGAUGCAGAAUUCCAGGUGUAGCGGUGAAAUGCGUAGAUAUCUGGAGGAAUACCGGUGGCGAAGGCGGCAUCCUGGACCGACAUUGACGCUGAGGGAGCGAAAAGCCCAGGGG
rnacentral:rRNA from 1 species